UACGUAGGUGGCAAGCGUUGUCCGGAAUUAUUGGGCGUAAAGCGCGCGCAGGCGGUCCUUUAAGUCUGAUGUGAAGGCCCACGGCUCAACCGUGGAGGGUCAUUGGAAACUGGAGGACUUGAGUACAGAAGAGGAAAGUGGAAUUCCACGUGGUAGCGGUGGAAAUGCGUAGAGAUGUGGAGGAACACCAGUGGCGAAGGCGACUUCUGGUCUGUAACGUGACGCUGAGGCGCGAAAGCGUGGGAGCAACAGG
rnacentral:rRNA from 1 species